rnacentral:rRNA from 1 species
UCCCGUCGAUCCUGCGGGAGAUUGCUGCUAUUGGAAUCCGACUAAGCCAUGCAAGUCAAGGGUCCGCAAGGAACCGGCAAAAUGCUCAGUAACACGUUGGUAAUCUGCCUUUAGGUCAAGGAUAACCUUGGGAAACUGAGGCUAAUACUUGAUAUUGAAAUAAUUCUGGAACGAAUGUUUCUUGAAAGAUUACGCCUAAAGAUGAGCCAGCGGUUGAUUAGGUUGUUGGUGAGGUAACGGCUCACCAAGCCUUUGAUCAAUAGGGGCCUUGAAAGAGGGAGCCCCGAGAAGGGUACUGAAACACUGACCCUAGCCCUACGGGGUGCAGCAGGCGCGAAACCUUUACAAUACACGAAAGUGUGAUAAGGGGAUUCCAAGUGCUCAUGCUUUGCAUGGGCUUUUGUUAAGAGUAAAUAUCUUAGCGAAUAAGUGGUGGGCAAGACUGGUGCCAGCAGCCGCGGUAACACCAGCGCCACAAGUGGGAAUCAGUAUUAUUGGGCCUAAAGCGUCCGUAGCCGGUUUGUCAAAUCUUUUGUGAAAUCGUUGAGCUCAACUUAACGGCGAGCAGAAGACACUAACAAACUAGGAACCGGGAGGAGUCAGAAGUAUUCCGGGGGGAGCGGUAAAAUGCGAUAAUCCUCGGAAGACUACCUGUGGCGAAGGCGUCUGACUAGAACGGAUUCGACGGUGAGGGACGAAAGCCAGGGGAGCGAAUCGGAUUAGAUACCCGAGUAGUCCUGGCCGUAAACGCUGCGAGCUAGGUGUUGUGCAAUUUUCGUGAUUGUGCAGUAUCGAAGCGAAGGCAUUAAGCUCGCCGCCUGGGAAGUACGGUCGCAAGACUGAAACUUAAAGGAAUUGGCGGGGAAGCACUACAAGGGGUGCGGCGUGCAGUUUAAUCUAAUUCCACACAGAGAAUCUCACCAAAGGCGACGGCAGAAUGAAAGUCAGUCUAAAGGGCUUACUUGACGAGCCGAGAGGUGGUGCAUGGCCGCCGUCAGCUCGUGCCGUAAGGUGUCCUCUUAAGUGAGGCAACGAGCGAGACCUGUAUCUAUAAUUGCUAACAAGAUUUUCGGAUUGAUUGAGCACAUUAUGGAGACUGCGUUCGCAAGAACGAGGAAGGUGCAGGCUACGGUAGGUCUGUAUGCCCCGAAUCCUUUGGGCUACAUGCGCGCAACAAUGGUAGAGACAACAGGUUGCGACUCUGAAAAGAGAGGCUAACCCCCUAAACUCUAUCCAAGUCCAGAUCGAGGAUUGUAACCCAUCCUCGUGACGCUGGAAUCCCUAGUAAUCGUAAGUUAUCAGCUUGCGGUGAAUAUGUCCCUGCUUCUUGCACACACCGCCCGUCAAACCAUCCGAGCAGGGUCUAGAUGAGUUGUAGUUUAUUGAUUACACCGAAUCUAGAUUCAGUGAGGCGGGUUAAGUCGUCACAAGGUA